AUCCAGCUGACGAGUCGUAGAUAAGACGAAACACAUGUCCUAGAU
rnacentral:hammerhead_ribozyme from 1 species